GUCAGUGUGCCCUCGUGGUCUGAGCUUAGGACUAGGACUCUGGAGAUCAGGGUUCAAUUCCCUGCUUAGCCA